UACGUAGGUGGCAAGCGUUGUCCGGAAUUAUUGGGCGUAAAGCGCGCGCAGGCGGUUCUUUAAGUCUGAUGUGAAAUCUUGCGGCUCAACCGCAAGCGGUCAUUGGAAAACUGGGGGAACUUGAGUGCAGAAGAGGAAAGUGGAAUUCCACGUGUAGCGGUGAAAUGCGUAGAGAUGUGGAGGAACACCAGUGGCGAAGGCGACUUUCUGGUCUGUAACUGACGCUGAGGCGCGAAAAGCGUGGGGAGCAAACAGG
rnacentral:rRNA from 1 species